rnacentral:rRNA from 1 species
GAGUUUGAUCAUGGCUCAGGAUGAACGCUAGCGGCAGGCUUAACACAUGCAAGUCGAGGGGCAGCACGGGUAGCAAUACCUGGUGGCGACCGGCGGAAGGGUGCGUAACGCGUGAGCAACAUGCCCUAUACAGGGGAAUAAACCAGGGAAACUUGGUCUAAUGCCCCAUAGCAAUAAGAUAAGGCAUCUUAUUUUAUUUAAAGCUUCGGUGGUAUAGGAUUGGCUCGCGUGACAUUAGCUGGAUGGUGGGGUAACGGCCCACCAUGGCGAUGAUGUCUAGGGGUUCUGAGAGGAAGACCCCCCACACUGGGACUGAGACACGGCCCAGACUCCUACGGGAGGCAGCAGUGAGGAAUAUUGGACAAUGGAUGGAAAUCUGAUCCAGCCAUGCCGCGUGCAGGAAGACGGCCCUAUGGGUUGUAAACUGCUUUUCUACGGGAGCAAUAAGGUCUACGCGUAGACUGAUGAGAGUACCGUAGGAAUAAGCAUCGGCUAACUCCGUGCCAGCAGCCGCGGUAAUACGGAGGAUGCGAGCGUUAUCCGGAUUUAUUGGGUUUAAAGGGUGCGUAGGCGGCUUUUUAAGUCAGCGGUGAAAUUUUGCAGCUUAACUGUAACAGUGCCGUUGAUACUGGGGAGCUAGGAUUUGGUUGCUGUGGGUGGAAUGUGUGGUGUAGCGG